UACGUAGGGGGCUAGCGUUGUCCGGAAUCAUUGGGCGUAAAGCGCGUGUAGGCGGCUCGGUAAGUCUGCUGUGAAAGUCCAGGGCUCAACCCUGGGAUGCCGGUGGAUACUGUCGAGCUCGAGUCCGGAAGAGGCGAGUGGAAUUCCUGGUGUAGCGGUGAAAUUCGCAGAUAUCAGGAGGAACACCAAUGGCGAAGGCAGCUCGCUGGGACGUGACUGACGCUGAGACGCGAAAGCGUGGGGAGCAAACAGG
rnacentral:rRNA from 1 species